AAUUUUCAUUAGAAAAUUCCUCUGAUGGGCUUAUGAACUUUUAAUGUGAGAUCAUCACUGAACCUUUUUUGUGUUCUUCUGAAGUGACCUUGGCACAUGGGCAACACAUGAACACACCUCAAUGUGAAAUUUUCUGAAGAAUUCUUAAUGCCUGCAAGUGGCACUUGAGUGGCUAAUUCCAAUAACUCCGGCAGUCAGUUGAUGAAGCAUUCUUUGCUUUAUGAUUUGAGUAAUAGAAGUAGUUGCAUCUGUGGUUAUAGAUCAGAAAAAUCGCUUAUCCAGCUCUUUUCAGUCCCUUUGAUUCAUUGGACGUGACCACAACACUGUUUAGUGCUGGUCAGUCGUUUUCAAGUCAGUGAGCAUCUGGGUUGGUCAUUAGCCAGCAGAGAAAUCAAUUAGGGCUGGUGGGGGUGUGUUUGGAGGAGAGGAUUGGAAUACAUGAAUUCUAUCGAUCCAUUGUCCUGGAUAAUCAACAUCCCCACGAGCAGAUCUUAAAGCUGUGUGAGGACUCCAUGGAAGUUCCUUUCUGCUCUUGCACCUCUGUUCCACCAAGAGUGACUCCUCCAGCCAACAAAGAUGGCAACUCUCCGAGGUUCCAAAUUCCCAACUUUGUUAAAGCAAUGAGCUAAUUAAUAAAGCAUAAAUUGUUAGCAUUUUUCUGUGGAGCACUGCCGAGGAUCCAUUAUUUUAUUUAGUGUAUUUGUCUUAAAGUGAUUAUGUUACUAAUUAUAAGGCUCACUAGUCUGUUUAACAGGAGUCCAAAUAAUUAUAAUUUGUUUGCAUUCCCACCCUGCGUGUUUUCAUACAAAAAGGAAAACAUUUUGUUGAAUGAUUAAUCUUGUGCAUGCCUCUCUGUAUGUUUAGGAAAAUUAAAUGUCUCAUUUUUGUUCUAAAUGAGAGAUUUUUGAUUUUGCUACUCUUGUUCUCAAGGUGCAUUGGUAAAUUCUGAAGAAACAUGAGGAUAAAGCCACAGGGGGAAUGAUGGGCUCUUAGAACUCAGUAUGUUCCCAAUAAAGUCCAUAACAAAAUUC